rnacentral:rRNA from 1 species
AUUGAACGCUGGCGGCAGGCCUAACACAUGCAAGUCGAACGGAAGAAGGGCGCUUGCUCCUGGAUUCCGCGGCGGACGGGGGAGUAAUGCCCAGGAAUCUGCCUGGUUGUGGGGGGUAACGUGCGGAAACGGGCGCUAAUACCACAUACGUCCUGCGGGAGAUGGAUGGGGUGCUUCGGAGCUCUCGGUAUCGGGUUAGCCUAGGUCGCUUUAGCUAGGUGGUGGGGUAAAGGGCUACCAAGGGGACGAUCCGUAACUGGUCUGAGAGGAUGAUCAGUCACACGGGAACUGAGACGCGGACCAGACUCCUACGGGAGGCAGCAGUCGGGAAUAUUGGGCAAUGGGCGAGAGCCUGGUCCAGCCAUGCCGCGUGUGUGAAAAAGGUCUUCGGAGUGGAAAGCACGUUUAGUUGGGAUGAAGGGCAGUAGGUUAAUACCUUGCGGUAUUGACGUUACCAACAGAAGAAGCACCGGCUAACUUCGUG